GGAAUUUUGCGCAAUGGGCGAAAGCCUGACGCAGCAACGCCGCGUGAGUGAUGAAGGCCCUCGGGUCGUAAAGCUCUGUCAGAGGGGAAGAACCUCCAAUCGGUUAAUAUCCGGUUGGCCUGACGGUACCCUCAAAGGACGCACCGGCUAACUCCGUCCCCGCAGCCGCGGUAAUCCAGAGGGUGCAAGCGUUGUUCGGAAUUAUUGGACGUAAAGCUCGUGUAGGCGGCUGUUUAAGUCUGAUGUGAAAGCCCUGGGCUCAACCCGGGAAGUGCAUUGGAAACUGGACAGCUUGAGUACGGGAGAGGGUAGUGGAAUUCCGAGUGUAGGGGUGAAAUCCGUAGAUAUUCGGAGGAACACCGGUGGCGAAGGCGGCUACCUGGACCGAUACUGACGCUGAGACGCGAAAGCGUGGGGAGCAAAC
rnacentral:rRNA from 1 species